rnacentral:lncRNA from 1 species
CUUAGCUGACCAGUUUUGCUUUCUUUCUCUUCCUUGUUCCAGAAGCGCGGAUAUGAUGCAUGGAGACGCAGAGACGUGAGGAACAUGCUGAGGAAGGAGCAGAAACUAGAGAGAGUGCAGGCUGCCCACGUCCAGGGUCCUACCACAUCUCCAAGCCGAGACUAGGCGAGCUCUCUUUAGCUCCCACAGCCUCCUGCGGCACUUGGGUUGACACGGAGCUUCCCACAGCCCCCUGCUUCACCAUAGUCCCUGAGGGCAGAUACAAAGCUUGCUCUAACCACUGCCCUGUGGGGUGCCUGGCUAGUGGCUGAAGACCUAGGAGAACACCUGAGAAUUUUACCUGGUGAAAGAGAUGCAGGAGACCCCAGGCUUCCUUUACACCCGUGAUCCCUAACCAGGAUUGCACCUCAGAGUCCCUGAGCAUGUGAAACGGAUAGACAUGAACUCAUCUACACCACAGCUGCCUGUGUCCAAACAUUCAGAUUCAGGAGGCCUGAGAGGCACAGAGAUCUCCGUCAGUAAGACUGACUUCUCUUCUUCCCACAAUGCCAUGAAGUUGGCUUUGUGGAACUUCGACAUCACUCCCGCCAUUCCUGCUUCCCGUUCUUCUUCCAGGGAAGUCUGCCUUUCAUGGGCUUCCUAAACUUUCAUAUUGGGCACCGAAAUGACAAGGAUUCUUUCCCCAAUCCUCUUACUGAAGAAACACGUUUGAUUACAAUGCCCAGAGAUUUUUGUAUUUUACCCAUUUGGCAGGACACAAAAGAGAAGAAGCAGGAGUUAAAUCUCAGGCAGACAUUCGCACGCAUUUUCAGUAUGAAGGCUAGUGUAGGUCUAGCCAAGAGUUACAGAUACAAAUCCCUUAAGUAAGGUGAGAUUUUCAAGGUGUCUCAAUAGUGUUUGCCUCUGGAUAGGUGGAGAAGGUUAUGGCGGGGGGGCACCCAAACAGAUAUGUCAGUAUUAUAUAUGUUCUUUCCAGAAGUGGGCAGGAGACCACUAUGUUUUUCAAAUACAUUAAGAGAUAUGCUUGCGAAUUCAAAAAUCUUCAAAAUAAAACGAGUAAUUCAGCAAAAGACAUUGCAACCUUGCUCUGAUCAAAGAUUAUAGAAACCAACAAAACAAAUAAAAGCCAAAGAAGCAAAAAAAGAGCUGUGGUUCCUAAGAAUCUUCCUUAAUAGUGAAUGAUUCCACGUUCC